UCUCCCUGUCUCGUGAUACCUCUCUCUCUCCCUCCCUCUCGGCGCAUCGUCUCCAUUGCCACCUUUAUUGUCCCCAGAUCUGGUGCGGCCAGCAGCUCCCGCCCUUCAUAUCUUUCCUGGCAGGUAGUUGAUUAUGGAGUUCAUAAGCUUUGGAAAUACAAUAAUGUUGAGAAGUUAGAUCUAAAACAUUCUAUAGAAGGAUAAACUACACGACAAGAAAUAAAACCCCACCAAUGACUGCGACAGUAUACAACGUGACAGAACUGCAAGCUGCUACAAACAACUUCAGUGAAGACUACCUUCUUGGAAUGGGUACUGUUGGUCCCAUCUACAAAGGCAUGUUCCCUGAUGGCCAGUGUGCGUGUCUCGAAUGAACUUAGGGGCUGGCCGUCCAAAAGCAGCAGAGUUUUCGGUAGUGGUGGCUGUUUCUAUGUUGGCAUUGUUUGGAAUUCUCUUCACAGCUGCAGUUCUCAUCCCCAGGAGCUACUUCCCAAAGUUGUUCACUGAUAAACCAGAGGUCAUAAGAGAAACAAUCAAGCUCGGGUAUCUUCUGGCAGCCAUGAUUUUUCUCAACAGCAUUCAACCUGUUCUACAUAACUUUUCUGGCAUGGCUGUAGAACUCAGAUCAGAAACAGAGCUCCAACAGAUGGGAUUAAGCAUUUAUUAAAUGUGUAGCAAUAGGUGCAGGUUGGCAAUCCUUAGUUGCCUUUGUAAAUGUAGGAUGCUACUAUCUCUUUGGAUUACCGAUGGGCUCCUUGCUCAGAUACAAGUUCAAGCUUGGAGUUUUGGUUAGAAGCAAUGCAUCAAAAUUGGAAUCCACCAAGAGAUAUUGCUUCAUGCUUCAAGAAGAACCUUCCCUGCUUUAAAAAAGCACAAUGGAAGUACACACGUUGUGGCUUAACUUCUAGCCUUGCAUGCAUGUCUUGAUUUGAGGCUCGUGUAUGUAGAUCUUAGCAUGUUUUAUUGUUUCAGAUUGCUGGGGUAGAUGGUUGGGACCAAGGGUUCUUGGUAGGGCUGAUGAUUCUAUAAUUUCUAUUAGGGCAUGUACUUCAAUGG